rnacentral:tRNA from 1 species
GGGUCAUUGGCUUAGUCAGGUAGAGCGGGUGCCUGAAGAGCACCUUGUCGCCGGUUCAAAUCCGGUAUGGCCCA